rnacentral:lncRNA from 1 species
GCAGUAAAGUAGCAAUGUAUUUCUGAGUUACAGUUCCUUGCCUCCACUGUGAGACAAGCCCCAGCCACAUCUCCAGCCACAAGAACUCCAAACACCUGAACCGCAGCUGCCAGGGGUUCCUCCAGAACAUCCCCCUCCAGGAUCUUACUUCAAGUGCCGGAAAUCUGGCCACUGGGCCAUGGAAUGCCCACAGCCCGGGAUUCCUCCUAAGCCAUGUCCCAUCUGUGCAGGACCCCACUAGAAAUUGGACUGUCCAACUGGCCCAAGGCUCUGAUCGACUCCUUCCCAGAUCUCCUCGGCUUAGCAGCUGAAGACUGACACUGCCUGAUCGCCUCGGAAGCCCCUUGGACCAUCACGGACGCUGAGCUUCGGGUAACUCUCACAGUGAAGGGAAACUGAAUUCCAAAAAGGAAACGAACUAACUCAAAUUUUCCCUGAUCUGGAAUUACAAGCAUCAGCUCAUUAUUCCUGCAAUAAAACCGAUUGGCCAGGAGCUAAACAGAAGACUUCUAAAAAAUGAAAACCCCUGGCCGGGCGCGGUGGCUCACGCCUGUAAUCCCAGCACUUUGGGACGCCGAGGCAGGCGGAUCACGAGGUCAGGAGAUCGAGACCAUCCCGGCUAACACUGUGAAACCCCGUCUCUACUAAAAAUGCGAAAAAUUAGCCGGGCGUGUUGGCGGGCGCCUGUAGUCCCAGCUACUCGGGAGGCUGAGGCAGGAG